UUUCAGAUCAGGAAGACAGAUACGGCCACGAGGAAUUGCAUCAGUAACUUGUUACUAAGAAGAAAGCUCUGGUACAGUAAUAAACUCCGAGCUUUGUACUGCAGUGUAUACGUAAUACGUGGAAUUAUAUGGACGAUCCGAAGCUGCUUAGCCUAGCUUGACCUGACAUAGUCGCCAAAAAUUCAACAACCAACAAAGCAAAAGGCAAUGGAGGCUGCGAAACAAAAAGCGGCGAAGGGCGGCCCACUGGUUACCGGAGGAAUCAAAAAGUCCGGAAAGAAAUAACUUUUGUCUAAUUUAUUUUAAAGUCUAUUAUGCCUAAGAUUCACUAUUCCACUCGACGCAGUUCGCCAUUCGCGAUUGAUUUCUUGAUCAUUUUUGUAUGUAUGUACUCAAUGUAAAACAGCCCACGACAAAAAUUCAGUAAAAGUGAUUAACCAAUUUAAAAUAA